rnacentral:rRNA from 1 species
CCAGACUCCUACGGGAGGCAGCAGUGAGGAAUAUUGGUCAAUGGGCGAGAGCCUGAACCAGCCAAGUCGCGUGAGGGAUGACUGCCCUAUGGGUUGUAAACCUCUUUUGUAUGGGGGGAAUAAGCUUUACGAGUAGAGUGAUGACAGUACCAUACGAAUAAGCAUCGGCUAACUCCGUGCCAGCAGCCGCGGUAAUACGUAGGUGGCGAGCGUUAUCCGGAAUGAUUGGGCGUAAAGGGUGCGUAGGCGGUCGAUUAAGUCUGGAGUGAAAGGUACCGGCUCAACCGGUAUAGGCUCCGGAAACUGAUGGACUGGAGUACAGGAGAGGGUGGCGGAACUCCAUGUGUAGCGGUAAAAUGCGUAGAUAUAUGGAAGAACACCGGUGGCGAAGGCGGCCGCCCGGACUGUAACUGACGCUGAGGCACGAAAGCGUGGGGAGCAAAUAGGAUUAGAUACCCCUGUA